CCUUUUAAUUGGAGGCCUGCAUGAAUGGCUUGACGAGCGCCCUGCUGUCUCUCUUCCCAUGAACUUUUAAAUUAACUUUCGCGUGCAAAGGCGCGAAUGGCUGAGUUAGACGAAAAGACCCUAUGCAUCUUUACUGAGAGAGAAGAAAGUUCUUUAGCUUGGUUUAGCUGGGGCAGCUGAGGAAAAGGCAAAAUUUCCUUAAUAUAAAUCAUACUGGUGGGUUUAGAUCCAGGCUCUUUAGCGGGCUUGACAAGUAGAAAAGUUACGCUAGGGAUAACAGCGUUAUCCUUCUGUGGAGGUCUUAUCUGCAGGAGGGAUUGCGACCUCGAUGUUGAAUUAGGGAUAUACCAGAAAGGCGCAGAAGCUUUUAUUGUGGGUC
rnacentral:rRNA from 1 species